UUGGAUUUCUGGUGUGGGGGGUGGUCCACCGCAAGGUGAGCACUGUUCUCUGCGCCAUCCUCUCGAGGGCUUUUGGUGCCAUUAACUUGGUGCCUUGAGAAUAUGGGACCUUUACUUUGAAAAAAUUAGAGUGUUCAAAGCAGGCCUACGCUUGAAUACAUUAGCAUGGAAUAAUGGAAUAGGACUUUGGUUCUAUUUUGUUGGUUUCUAGGACCGAAGUAAUGAUUAAUAGGGACAGUUGGGGGCAUUAGUAUUUAAUUGUCAGAGGUGAAAUUCUUGGAUUUAUGAAAGACUAACUACUGCGAAAGCAUUUGCCAAGGAUGUUUUCAUUAAUCAAGAACGAAAGUUAGGGGAUCGAAGACGAUCAGAUACCGUCGUAGUCUUAACCAUAAACUAUGCCGACUCAGGAUCAUCGAGGUCAAUAUAGCCACGGUGGCACUGUACGAGAAAUCAAAGUUUUUGGGUUCUGGGGGGAGUAUGGUCGCAAGGCUGAAACUUAAAGGAAUUGACGGAAGGGCACCACCAGGAGUGGAGCCUGCGGCUUAAUUUGACUCAACACGGGGAAACUCACCAGGUCCAGACAUAGUAAGGAUUGACAGAUUGAUAGCUCUUU
rnacentral:rRNA from 1 species